CCUAGCUCACAUAGAUGUGACACUGCCAUACUCAGUCUGGAUGGAAGUCCUCACCCUGGACUUCUUUCCCUUCUGGCACCUCAGCCUCUGCCUCAAUUAGCCUUUCCUCCCAUCUUCUAGGUGGUUGGUAUUUCUACCCCGGUGGACUACAGACCUUCCACCCUGCUAUGCUGUCCUGGUGGGCAGCCAAGGGAAGCAGCAGGAGAGAGGACCGUUGGGAAUCAGGACAGUCCCCCUCAUAUUUCCAGGAGCUGGAAAGCGGGGUGGUGCACAAGACAUCUGAGUGGCACAGUUCUUCCCAAG